UAACGAAUCUUCCGCAAUGCACGAAAGUGUGACGGAGCGACGCCGCGUGGAGGACGAAGUCCUUCGGGAUGUAAACUCCUGUCAGGGGAAAGAAAGUUCUGAUCUACCCCAGAGGAAGAGGCGGCUAACUCUGUGCCAGCAGCCGCGGUAAUACAGAGGCCUCGAGCGUUAGGCGGAAUCACUGGGCUUAAAGCGUGUGUAGGCGGACGACUAAGUGCUUUGUGAAAUCCCACGGCUCAACCGUGGAAUGGCUUGGCAUACUGGUCGUCUUGGGCGGUCUAGGGGCGAGCGGAACAGACGGUGGAGCGGUGAAAUGCGUAGAUAUCGUCUGGAACGCCUAUGGUGAAAACAGCUCGCUGGGGACCUGCCGACGCUGAGACACGAAAGCCAGGGGAGCGAACGGG
rnacentral:rRNA from 1 species